CAGUCGCCACGGGAAUACAGAGGGUGCAAGCGUUAAUAGGAAUUACUGGGCGUAAAGCGCGCGUAGGUGGUUUGUUAAGUUGGAUGUGAAAUCCCCGGGCUCAACCUGGGAACUGCAUCCAAAACUGGCAAGCUAGAGUAUGGUAGAGGGUGGUGGAAUUUCCUGUGUAGCGGUGAAAUGCGUAGAUAUAGGAAGGAACACCAGUGGCGAAGGCGACCACCUGGACUGAUACUGACACUGAGGUGCGAAAGCGUGGGGAGCAAACAGGAUUAGAUACCCCUGUAGUCCCUGUCUCUUAUAC
rnacentral:rRNA from 1 species